GGAAAGACAGCCCUUGAGUUUGCAUAAGCAAGCCUGAGACUUUCUUUCUUUUCUUCUUCUUCUUCUUCUUCUUCUUCUUCUUCUUCUUCUUCUUCUUCUUCUUCUUCUUCUUCUUCUUCUUCUUCUUCCUUUUCUUUUAUACAUCUGAGGAGGAUAGUUCUAGAAAUCAGAGUAGGCUGGACAGCUGAGGACUUUGAGAUGUAGGAGAAACACCACUUCCUUUUGUGUCUCCCCCUUUCAGUUAGAGCGAUGGCCAUUUCUUGAUCUUUCAGAUGAGACUGGAUGUAUUCAGGGUGAUACAGCCACGGAGUCUCCCUCUUCUGCAUUCAUUUUGCCAUGGGAAACAGGAGGCAUAGUCAGCCUUGAAUGUGCAGUGGUUUUUCUUCAUAAUCAUGAGAAACAAGAAUAGCAUCUGUCUUCCGAAAUGGAUCUUGAAAUGGCAGAAGACAAGGUGGGAAAUGGGAUUUUC
rnacentral:lncRNA from 1 species